GGACUACAAGGGUUUCUAAUCCUGUUUGCUCCCCACGCUUUCGCGCCUCAGCGUCAGUCAAGGACCAGGUUGCCGCCUUCGCCACCGGUGUUCUUCCCAAUAUCUACGAAUUUCACCUCUACACUGGGAAUUCCACAACCCUCUUCCUCACUCUAGACAACACGUAUCAAAUGCAGCCCCCAGGUUAAGCCCGGGAAUUUCACAUCUGACUGUGCCAUCCGCCUACGCGCCCUUUACGCCCAGUCAUUCCGAGCAACGCUAGCCCCCUUCGUAUUACCGCGGCGGCUGGCAC
rnacentral:rRNA from 1 species